rnacentral:lncRNA from 13 species
AUGACGGAUGCCCCUCGCCCCACCAAGCUCAGUCAUCCCAUGUUGACUUCAGACUGCUGUGCUGGCAUCAAGAAUUUCAAGCCAGUGGAUCUUAGCUUGCCAGGCUCUGUGGGAGUGGGAGCCUCUGGGCAAGACCACUUGGCUUCCUGGCUUCAGCCCCCUGUCAGCCCAGGGCGGCCUUUGCUCCUAGAUGCUGCUUACAUUCCUCAGUCUUUCCAGGUGGGCCCUCCACCCACAGCAGGAACGCCCUUGCCCAAGGCCUUUUUGUGGCCCACUCUCUCACUGUGUUGGCUGAUCCUCUGGGAAGCAGACUUCAAGGCAGUUUUAGGAGAGUUCGAGAUGUAUCGGGGGGAGAGGAGGAGAAAGGAGGAUUGGAGGAAGAGCCUCUGA